UGGUCUUAGCUUGCUAAGGCUGAUGGCGACCGGCGCACGGGUGAGUAACACGUAUCCAACCUGCCGUCUACUCUUGGCCAGCCUUCUGAAAGGAAGAUUAAUCCAGGAUGGGAUCAUGAGUUCACAUGUCCGCAUGAUUAAAGGUAUUUUCCGGUAGACGAUGGGGAUGCGUUCCAUUAGAUAGUAGGCGGGGUAACGGCCCACCUAGUCAACGAUGGAUAGGGGUUCUGAGAGGAAGGUCCCCCACAUUGGAACUGAGACACGGUCCAAACUCCUACGGGAGGCAGCAGUGAGGAAUAUUGGUCAAUGGGCGAUGGCCUGAACCAGCCAAGUAGCGUGAAGGAUGACGG
rnacentral:rRNA from 1 species